UUGCGCGAGUGUUGUUGCAUCACUGGUUCACUGGCCUGUCCACAUUGGCAUUUUAUCAAACAGCUAGUGUCCCUGCUAUACGAAGCAAAAGGCCCCUAACGGUGGCCGGCGCUUCCCGGCUUUCUCGUCAGAUCACGGUCGCUUCACGCCGCCACCGCCGCCGCCGCCGGUGCCUCUGCCGCAACAAAGGAGAUCCUUCAGUAUGCUGAUGAAAGGAGUUGCACCAAUUCCAAGGCCAAUAAGGAAAAGGAUGUCGUAUUUCUUGUAAUUUUGAGCUGGUGCACCGAAAGGGCCAUCAACAAAGAUCUUGGGAAAUCUAAAUAAAGAAAGCCAAGUCACUAAAGUUAGUGCAAUAUCGCCUAUAUACAUAUCCUCAAGCAAUUCCUUAAGAAAGCUUAAGGUUCCUUAGUUCUGUUGUCCAGUCACCUAAUGUGCGGAUAUGUACACUCAAGUAGUCGUCCCCAGGUGCAGAGGUGAUGGAGAAGGGAUGCCUGCAAACAUUGAAGAAAAUUUUGAAGCCAAAGCCUUGGAAAACUCGUAACUUGGAAAAUAUGGAUGAUGGGAUGGUACCAUUCAAAAGGCGAGACGUCUGGGCAUUUUACAAAGAGGUACAUCCCACUUUUGUAUUUGAAACUUGAUGGCUUCUUCAUGUAAAGAGAGAGAACAUUUCCUGGGUAAAUUGCUGCCUGCAUGACACAUAGAACCAUGCAUAAUAUUACCAGUUCUCUUGUGAUACUUGCACUUUAAAAUGUAUACUGAGGAAACUUGUAUGUUGUAUACUUGUAGAAUCUAUAGCUUACCUUGAUGACAGUCACUCCAUAAUUCUUCUCACGAACUCUUCUGGUGGCUCUCUCGCUGGCAUAGAAGAUAACAGGAACUGCUAUGUACAUCCAUCCCUGUAGAAGCACAUCCAAAGUUACAAUUUCAAUUUAUGCACAUUCAUA